rnacentral:rRNA from 1 species
GUCGAGAAUAAUUCACAAUGGACGAAAGUCUGAUGGUGCAACGCCGCGUGGAGGAUGAAGGUCUUCGGAUUGUAAACUCCUGUCAUCGGGGAGUAAGACCUGGCGGUAAAUAGCCGACAGGGUUGAUAGUACCCGAAGAGGAAGGGACGGCUAACUUCGUGCCAGCAGCCGCGGUAAUACGAAGGUCCCAAGCGUUGUUCGGAAUCACUGGGCGUAAAGGGAGCGUAGGCGGCGUGGUAAGUCAGAUGUGAAAUCCCGGGGCUCAACCCCGGAACUGCAUCCGAGACUGCCAUGCUUGAGGGUUGGAGAGGUAGCUGGAAUUCUCGGUGUAGCAGUGAAAUGCGUGGAUAUCGAGAGGAACACUCGUGGCGAAGGCGAGCUACUGGACAACAUCUGACGCUGAGGCUCGAAGGCCAGGGGAGCAAAAGGGAUUAGAUACCCGGGUAGUCC